rnacentral:rRNA from 1 species
GUUGUAUGGUUAAGUGACUAAGCGUACACGGUGGAUGCCUUGGCAGUCAGAGGCGAUGAAAGACGUAGUAACUUGCGAUAAGCCCAGAUUAGGUAGUAACAACCAUUUGAGUCUGGGAUUUCUGAAUGGGGAAACCCACGUGCAUAAGCACGUAUCCUUACCUGAAUACAUAGGGUAAGGAGGCGAACCGGGGGAACUGAAACAUCUAAGUACCCCGAGGAAAAGAAAUCAACCGAGAUUCCGAAAGUAGCGGCGAGCGAAAUUGGACUAGCCCUUAAGCUUUACACGCGUUAGACGAACGGUCUGGAAAGUCCGACGAUACAGGGUGAUAGUCCCGUAGUUGACGACGUGUGUUCAGUGAAAUCGAGUAGGGCGGGACACGUGAUAUCCUGUCUGAAUAUGGGGGGACCAUCCUCCAAGGCUAAAUACUACUGACUGACCGAUAGUGAACCAGUACCGUGAGGGAAAGGCGAAAAGAACCCCUGUGAGGGGAGUGAAAUAGAACCUGAAACCGUGUACGUACAAGCAGUAGGAGCAGGCUUUGUCCUGUGACUGCGUACCUUUUGUAUAAUGGGUCAGCGACUUAUAUUCAGUGGCAAGGUUAACCAUCUAGGGGAGCCGUAGGGAAACCGAGUCUUAACUGGGCGUUCAGUCUCUGGAUAUAGACCCGAAACCAGGUGAUCUAGCCAUGGGCAGGUUGAAGGUUGAGUAACAUCAACUGGAGGACCGAACCGACUAAUGUUGAAAAAUUAGCGGAUGACUUGUGGCUAGGGGUGAAAGGCCAAUCAAACCUGGAGAUAGCUGGUUCUCCCCGAAAGCUAUUUAGGUAGCGCCUCGGACGAAUACUACUGGGGGUAGAGCACUGUUAAGGCUAGGGGGUCAUCCCGACUUACCAACCCUUUGCAAACUCCGAAUACCAGUAAGUACUAUCCGGGAGACACACGGCGGGUGCUAACGUCCGUCGUGGAGAGGGAAACAACCCAGACCGCCAGCUAAGGUCCCAAAUUACUACUAAGUGGGAAACGAUGUGGGAAGGCUCAGACAGCCAGGAUGUUGGCUUAGAAGCAGCCAUCAUUUAAAGAAAGCGUAAUAGCUCACUGGUCGAGUCGGCCUGCGCGGAAGAUGUAACGGGGCUAAGUAGUAAACCGAAGCUGCGGCAAUACUCUUUGAGUAUUGGGUAGGGGAGCGUUCUGUAAGCGGUUGAAGGUGUGUGGUAACGCAUGCUGGACGUAUCAGAAGUGCGAAUGCUGACAUGAGUAACGAUAAAGGGGGUGAAAAACCUCCUCGCCGGAAGACCAAGGGUUCCUGUCCAACGUUAAUCGGGGCAGGGUAAGUCGACCCCUAAGGCGAGGCCGAAAGGCGUAGUCGAUGGGAAACGGG